rnacentral:miRNA from 1 species
AGCAGAAUGGCUGGGCCAUCUGAUAGGAAUAUAUUUAGCUUUUUAAGAAGCUAUCAAACUGUUUUCCAAAGUGGCUGUACCAUUCUAUAUUCCCACUAGCACU